UACGUAGGGUGCGAGCGUUAAUCGGAAUUACUGGGCGUAAAGCGUGCGCAGGCGGUUCGUUGUGUCGGUGGUGAAAGCCCCGGGCUUAACCUGGGAAUGGCCAUGGAAACUGGCGAACUGGAGUGUGGCAGAGGGGGGUGGAAUUCCGCGUGUAGCAGUGAAAUGCGUAGAGAUCUGGAGGAACACCGAUGGCGAAGGCAGCCUCCUGGGCUAGUACUGACGCUCAUGCACGAAAGCGUGGGGAGCAAACAGG
rnacentral:rRNA from 1 species